AUAUCAGUGACCAUCGUUAGUUGGUCAAAACUUGCAGAGCUUUUGCAAAAAUCUGUGGGCUGAAUAUGUAUUCGAACAUCGCUGGAUUCUUAAAUGGUAAAAGGAAGUCAAUUUUGGAAGAAGACGGACCUGCACCUUUGUCAUUGUGGAAUCAAUAAUUCUAAAUACAGUCGUCUUCAAACGAGCAAAAGAUCAUCCGGUUAUUAUUUAUUUAUCAUUCAGUUGCGAAGAAGGAAAUCGUGAAUUGUAAUUGCGACAGUCAUGGCCACUUGCCAGCUUCAAACUAGUUUAUAAUUAGCAUGAGUGAAAAAAAUAGCGCCGAGCUGCUGAACCAUUUAUUUAUGCACAUACGUGAAUUGCUUCGAUUAAAAAUUGAGUAAUAUUAUAAAAACAACUUUACUUCUCAUGGCCUAGAGAUUAUUUGGUUCAUUCCUUUCUCUGUGUCUUAUUUGCGAAAGCCGUGUAGUGUAAUAUCAGACGCGUUCGCCGCCCUUUCGCGCAACUGUAGAGUAUCAAUAGUUUCUAAAUGUGACCACCUAUUAUUAUUAUGUGUCGUACAUAAGUAUAUGACACCAUAGGCUCUUUCGGAAUCUGUGUCAAAUUAUGUCUUCUUUUCGAACGUUGGAUUGCAAAAUUAUUGAAUACGAUAUCGUCGCAUAUUGUACGUAACGUAUGUUUGUACAAUCGAUACUAGAGUAUACGUCAUUUUUUUGUUAUUUCGAAAAAUGUCAGAGAACAAGACCUAAGAUCGUAACUGUGCACUUCAUCGCAUUAUUGCGAAAGUGUAACUUGAGCAGGCAUAAUUUGUGAAUAAUUAAAAUGCGUUGCACGGAAAAGUGUUUUGAUCAAUUUAGCAUACAGCUGAUAUGUACGACCUGUACGACUUACACACAUACGUAUAAGCAAAGUCGUUCAUGUUUUCUAUGUCACAUCUGACACUUUGACAGUUCUAGCUCGAUAGUAUUAAACAUGGCCGUUCGUGCAGAGAAAUUACUGUAAUAUAACACUAUCGGGGUCUAAAGGAAGUGUUAUUGAGAGAUAUUUGAAUAAAGAAUAAUUAUGUUCGAGUCUCCGAGAAGCCUUCAGGAGGUUUGUGUAGACUUUAUUUGCGACAAUGUAUUGGUAUUAUGUGAAGUUCAUCCUGGCGACAGUGGGCUUCCUGUCAGUACUCUACCACCUGCUGCCAUUGAUGAGCAAAUGAGCAAAGGAGAUGGUAGUACAACAGUAUCAACUGUAUCGUCAGUCACCAAUCUCUCAUCUCUGAACUUAUCAGCUGGUUCAGCAACCAGGCUAAGUUUUAAGGAUCCUGAUGCAUUUUUACCUUCUGAAAUAUCGGAUCAACUUUUAUCCAGCUUAUGCGAAAGAAAAGCAUUAUCUGAUCUGACUAUUACUUUAUUCGAUGCAAAAACGACCAGAUUACGGCAUGUGAGGUUAAAGGAUGCAUCGAGCCUUUCUAUAAAAGGCUUAAAAGUUUUAAGUCAACAUAAGGUUGUAGAUUUGGAAAUAGAUGGACUUAAGGUUAAUGUCAAUGAUUUGAUUGGCUGCUUGGGAGAAUGGAGUUUGCAAAAUCUAAGAUCCCUAAGUGUGGCAAAGGGUAGCUUUAUGGACUAUGCUGGGUCUUGUGUAGUUGCGGCACUCACUAACCUUCGAGCCUUACAAACUCUGAAUGUUUCCGGAACUGAGUUUAAUAAUCAUGGUCUCCAAAUUGUUGUUGAAGACCUACAGCUCUUAGAAAAUUUAGACAUUUCUUGUACACGAGUAGACGAUAUAACACCAUUGCGCAAGUGUAGGGACCGACUGAAGUCACUGAAAAUGUACAAAUUAAAAGUGAGCAGCUGUGGAAAUCUGAUUCCCGUAUUAUGGGAGCUGAUGAAAUUGAGAAAUUUGGAUAUAUCCGAUGAAAGAGAUGCCGUUCCGCUUCAAGUGUUUGUUCCAGUUAAAUCUAAAAUAUCGGAUCUCUUGAAAUCCAGUUUCUGCAUGCCGAAUCUAGAUAGUCUAGAUAUCUCAGGUAGAGGAAAGGAUGAAAUACAUAGAAAAGAUUUGAGAGCAUUUAUUAAAUCUCACCCACAUUUAAGAUUUUUAGGCCUUGUUCAUACAGAUGCUUGUUAUGAUGACACUCUUAUUAAUCCAAUUAAUAAAAGUUACAGACGAAGUCUUGUGGUGAGUGGAACAGCAUCAGAGUCACAAAUUUUGGAAUCACUGAGACGAUACUGGUGCCGCCCAGUUUAUGUGCAAAAAUGCCUUUACAAUUUAUUCCGUUUAACGCCAAACUUCAGUGAGGCAAGAGUUGACGUUAUAAAACUAGUUAUACCUGGAAUGAAGGCUCAUCCCCAACAGUUUGGUGUACAGAUGGCUGCAACAGCAUGUCUCUACAAUCUUACAAAAGGAGACCUAGCGAAUAAAAUCCAUCCAUCGAUAUUAAAACAAAUUGUGGAUUUAACAUUGACAGCCAUGGAAUCAUUUCCAAAUCAUUACCAACUACAGAAAAAUACAUUACUUACGCUAUGCAGUGAUAGGAUACUGCAGGAUGUUACUUUUGACAAAUAUAGGUGUGCAAGACUUGUGAUGAAUUGUUUGUCAGCGUUUGAUGAUCCUUCAAUGAAUCGAAUGUCAGUUGCAAUAUGCUCCAUUUUGGCUGCGAAAAUUUCCACUGAUGAAACAUCAAUGCUGGGGGCACAACCGCAGUACAUGUCUAAACUUUUAGCGAUAAUCCGGUCUAAAGUUCAAACAAAAUCUGUGGACAUUACCAUGAAGUUUACAUUAAGCGCCCUUUGGAAUUUAACUGAUGAAAGUGCAACCACAUGUGCCGUAUUUCUCGAAGAAGGUGGUAUGGCUCUAUUUCUUGAAGUAUUGAAAAGUUUUCAAGGAGAGUCUAGUGUCGAAACAAAGGUUUUGGGCUUGCUGAAUAAUAUAGCUGAGGUACCUCACCUCAGGCAAUGUCUAAUGCAACCUCCUUUUAUAACGAUGCUCUCGUCACUUUUGGAUUCCGAACAGAUUGAUGUAUCAUAUUUUGCGGCAGGAAUUGCUGCACAUUUGUUGAGUGAUGGACCAUGUGUGUGGGCUUCAGUACCGUCUUUACCACCUAGGUCGCAAUUAUUGGAUCAAUUAGCUAAAGCAGUGACCAAUUGGCAAACACCUCAGAGUGAAAUGGUUGCUUAUCGAAGUUUUCAGCCAUUCUUUCCUCUUUUGCGAUACGCCGAUGCACAUCCUGUACAAUUAUGGGCUAUAUGGGCAAUACACCAUGUAUGCACUAAGAAUCCCAAACGGUAUUGUGGAAUGCUGUCGAGGGAAGGUGGUGGUGCCAUAUUAGCAUUGCUCGCAAACCAGAAGAGCGGUGACACUCAGCCUAUCGUGCGUACCUUGUGCCUCUCUGUGCUGGAAGCAUUGGCCACUCACUGUUCACCUUAAAUACCAUUUACAAUUUGACAAACGAGUACCAUAUCCCUGGUAUACUAGUCAAUUUUAUCCCUCUGCUGAGGUGGUACUGUUGAUGGAGAAAAAAAAAGGCUGUGAAUGGAUAUGUGUGGUCUGCACUGCGGAAGCAGCUAUCUCGGAUCGAACGAGAAAUAUUAUACAUAGAACAUAUGCACUUAGUGCAUUAAAGAUACGGAUUUGCAAAUGAUUUUCAAAAUCCUGUAAAUUGGCAAACUUAGACGAAAAUUAUUUGAGCAUACUAAUUUAUUGAUAUGAUGGUAGAGAAUAAGUGAUACUUGCUAAAAAUAACGUCGAGCAGACCUGUUCCACAAAACAAGAUGAUAAACGACGAUUGUUCCUUAGAUUUUAAGUAUCUUUUGCCUGUUUUUUAAACUCCCGAUACGGUGUGAACGGCUAGUUUUAUCACAUGUAACUCAAUUUAAAUUAUUUUGAUAACGUUAAUAACUUAAUUUUAUUAUUCGAUUUGUGGGUAUUAUUACCCGCUUUGACUGUAUCCUCAAUAUCAAUGCUACCUGCAAGGUGUUAAGAAAUUUAUUACACGGUAGUAGGUUUCGGAACUCACUUGCUAUGAAAUUUCAUAAAGAAAAUGUAAAUUUGAAGAUAUAUAUGAAUUUGUCGGCAGAUUUUGUACAAA